rnacentral:rRNA from 1 species
GACGAACGCUGGCGGCGUGCUUAACACAUGCAAGUCGAACGGAAAGGCCCUGCUCUUGUGGGGUGCUCGAGUGGCGAACGGGUGAGUAACACGUGAGUAACCUGCCCUUGACUUUGGGAUAACUUCAGGAAACUGGGGCUAAUACCGGAUAGGAGCUCCUGCUGCAUGGUGGGGGUUGGAAAGUUUCGGCGGUUGGGGAUGGACUCGCGGCUUAUCAGCUUGUUGGUGGGGUUGUGGCUUACAAAGGCUUUGACGGGUAGCCGGCCUGAGAGGGUGACCGGCCACAUUGGGACUGAGGUACGGCCCAGACGCCUACGGGAGGCAGCAGUGGGAGAUAUUGCACGAUGGGCGGAAGCCUGAUGCAGGAACGCCGCGUGCGGGAUGACGGCCUUCGGGUUGUAACCCGCUUUCGCCUGUGACGAAGCGUGAGUGACGGUAAUGGGUAAAGAAGCACCGGCUAACUACGUG